ACCAGGGGUAUCAUUGUGGUGAUGAAGUGAUCAGGACACAGCUCAGUGCAUGAAAGUAAAGUACUGCAGAGGGAGAGCAACAAGAGGAACUUUACUGGGACUUUACUGAAUUAUACUAGUAAAACAAGUUUUUCUGAGAAGGGAUAUUAUUCAUGGCUACAGCUAACAGAAAGACUUACAGAAGUAUAACCGUGGGACAAAUACCAGAAAACAAGAGCAAGGUAAAAUAUGAAAGAUUCUGAGAAACAGAAAUAGAAAUAGUAAGCAGCUCCUCCCUGCACUCCCACAUGAUUUUCAUUAAGUUUUUACCAACUUGUAUGAUAUCCAGCUGCUCCAUGGUGGCCCACAGAUUCCGGCUGAAGCAAACUCUGUGAGGUGCCAGAUGCAUGGAUCCUUUACUGUGGGCUAAAAGAUUCCAAAGAUGAGCUCAGCACAAAUUACACUAAUUUCCUGGCACUUCCCUUUUCUGUAUGUCAGCAAUAUACUCAUCUUAAUAUGAGAUACUUAUUUCAGAGGCAAUUUUGAAUAUUAAUGCAAAUAAACAAAACAAACUACUUUGGAGUCUUGGAAAGUUGCUUAG